rnacentral:rRNA from 1 species
UACGGAGGGGGCUAGCGUUGUUCGGAAUUACUGGGCGUAAAGCGCACGUAGGCGGCUUUGUAAGUUAGAGGUGAAAGCCCGGGGCUCAACUCCGGAAUUGCCUUUAAGACUGCAUCGCCCGAAUUGUGGAGAGGUAAGUGGAAUUCCGAGUGUAGAGGUGAAAUUCGUAGAUAUUCGGAAGAACACCAGUGGCGAAGGCGACUUACUGGACACAUAUUGACGCUGAGGUGCGAAAGCGUGGGGAGCAAACAGG